GACGAACGCUGGCGGCGUGCUUAACACAUGCCAGUCGAACGGAAAGGCCCCUUUGGGGGUACUCGAGUGGCGAACGGGUGAGUAACACGUGAGUAACCUGCCCUUGACUUCGGGAUAACUUCAGGAAACUGGGGCUAAUACCGGAUAGGAAUCCUUGCUGCAUGGUGGGGGUUGGAAAGCUUCGGCGGGUUUGGAUGGACUCGCGGCUUAUCAGCUUGUUGGUGGGGUAGUGGCUUACCAAGGCUUUGACGGGUAGCCGGCCUGAGAGGGCGACCGGCCACAUUGGGACUGAGAGACGGCCCAGACUCCUACGGGAGGCAGCAGUGGGGAAUAUUGCACAAGGGGCGGAAGCCUGAUGCAGCAACGCCGCGUGCGGGAGGACGGCCUUCGGGUUGUAAACCGCUUUCAGCAGGGGCGAAGCUUGUGGUGACGGUACCUGCAGAAGAAGCACCGGCUAACUACGUG
rnacentral:rRNA from 1 species